rnacentral:rRNA from 1 species
CUGCUCAAUGAUUUUAUAAUAUUAAAUUGCUGCAGUAUAUUGACUGUACAAAGGUAGCAUAAUAAAUAGUUUUUUUAUUGAAAGCUUGAAUGAAUGGUUUAAUGAAAAAAUAACUGUCUAUAAAUUAAAAAUUAAAAUUUUAUAUUUAAGUUAAAAAGCUUAAUUUAAUUUAAGUGACGAGAAGACCCUAUAGAGUUUUAUUAAUUAAUUUUAAUUAAAUGAUUUAUUGUUAAGUAUAUAAUUAAAUUUAAUUAAUUUGAUUGGGGGGAUUAAUAAAUAAAUUUAACUUUAAAAUUUUUAAAUAAAUUUAUUUAAUAUUAAUAUAAAGAUCCAAUUUUAUUGAUUAUUAGAUUAAAUUACCUUAGGGAUAACAGCAUAAUUUUUUUAGAGAGAUCACAUUAAUAAAAAAGAUUAUGACCUCGAUGUUGAAUUA